UUUAGAUGAAAAUUACAAACAAAUCAAUAGAUUAUAUUAUUGGCCAAAUUUAUUUAUUAAAUUAAAAGAAUACAUAAAAAAUUGUACAAUUUGCAACGAAAAUAAAUACAACAGGCAUCAUACUAAAAUUCCUAUUGGGGAAGCCCCUAUUCCAACUAAAGAAGGAGAGAAUUUACACAUCGACAUUUAUUACGCGCAAAGUCUUAUUUUCUUAACUUGUAUUGAUGCGUAUUCAAAAUUCCUGGUUGUAAAAGAAAUACAAAAUGAACUAAACAUCGAGAAUAAAGUAAUGGAACUACUCCAACAAUUUCCCCACGCCAAAGUAAUUAUGACUGAUAAUGAACCAAGCUUUACCUCUGUCCAAUUUAAAUCCUUUGCACAAAGAUGUGGUUUAACUCUACAUUUCGCAGACCCCAGACACAGUACCUCGAACGGACAAGUAGAAAGGGCACAUUCAACAUUAACAGAAUUAGCUCGUUGUAUAAAGGAAGAAUUUAAUCUUACUGACUAUUCUGAAAUAAUUAUUAGAGCCGCAAAAGAAUUCAAUCAGAGCAUCCAUUCAACAACAAACCAAAAACCUUUUGAUAUUCUUUAUAAUAAAAUUAAUCACGAAAAUAUUUCAAGAAUUCUAAAGAACACACAAGAAAAAAUGUUAGUAACACAUAAUGAAGGUCGCAAAGAAAAAGAAUACCAUGUAGGUCAAGUUGUUUAUGAAAAGAAACACGGAGAAAUAAAUAAGCUAAAAACUAGAUACAAAAAACAAAUUGUUAAGGAAAACUUACCUAACAAUGUUAUAAUCAAAAAUAGAAACAGAACUAUUCACAAAGACAACAUUAAGUUUUAACAAAUACCAUAUUUUUUUUUUAUUUUAUUAAAUUACAGAACGUGCAUUUCUUAUUACUUCUAAUACCAUUCGUAAUGAUAAGCACUUCAGAAAUAAUUGAUUACUCCAAUCACGAAUUCUUCCUGUUCAAGGACAAAAAGGAUGUCCUUACCUAUGAAUCAUAUGCCAACUUAUUCCACGUAACUAACUUAAGUUUUUAUAAAGAAAUAAUCAAUCUAGAAUCAGGAUAUGUUAGAAAAGAUACAAAUAAUCGGACAAAAUAGGAAAUUACUUACGAAAUACAGAUACUGAAAUUAAUUCUGUCACAAUUGAUACCAACUAGAUCAAAAAGGGGAAUGAAUAAAUGAGUUAGGCACUGUUUGGAAAUGGUUAGCUGGAACUCCGGAUCACGAUGAUUUCAUUAAAAUACAGAAUAAAAUAAAUGAUUUAAUUGAAAACAAUAACCAACAAUUUAUUAUUAAUUCCAAAUUGUUUAAAGAGAUAAAAUCACUUUCCGAUCACUUUAAAAACAUUUUUAUUGAUCAAGAAUUGCCGUUACAAAAACAUCGUUUACGUUUAUUAACAUUUGACUUACAAAACCUUAUUGAUACUAUCACGCUAGCCAAAAUUGAUUUAUUCAACACACAAAUUUUAAAUAAUGAAGACAUUAAAGAAAUAUUAGAUCACGAACAACAACCUAUAAUUAUUGCAGACCUAAUGGACAUCUCCAUAUUCAAAAUUGUAUUGCAUAAAGAACUCUUAAUUAUUUAUAUAAAAUACCCCGUUAUAACAAACAGAUGCGAAAUUUACUAUGCCAGAUCCAUUUCACAUAAUGAUGGAAAAUUACUAAUAAGUAAUAAGGUCAAAAAAUGCGAAAAUACCUUUUAUGAAAUAUCUAAUUUUAAGAACGAACUUUUUAACAACUAUUGUAUUAUAAGUAAAGAUAAGACUUGUUUUACCCGUUUACUAAAUGGAGAAAAAUCAAUUUGCACUAAAAUUCUAGAAAAAAAAUAAGAAUAUAGAUAUCAUUUAAGAAGGUGCCAUUCUUAUAAAUGGAAAUAAUAUUGUGAACGAUUCUCAUUUAAACGGGUCAGAUUUAAUAACAUUUAACAGCACAACUACAAUAAAUAAUAUUUCAUACACCAACUCAGAAAACAAAAUACUUGAGUACAUUACUACCAACCAUUUUAAAAACCUGGAAAUAUCAGAAUAUAUAAAAUCCAACAAUUGAGAACUUUCUCUUGACAACAUUAAAAUUUUAAACCCAUUUAUUGAAAUUUACAAUUGGAAAAUUUCAAUUUCAUUUAUAUUACUAAUUUUAAUCAUUUUGUACUUCAUUACUAUGUUAAUAUUAAAAUUCAGAAAUUAUAUAUUUGUAACCAAACAAAAACGGCCAGAACUAGAAAAACCAAAUAAUGAAGUAGAAUUUUUAACAGAAUUAAAUGAGCGUUUAAACGAAAUUAAUAAUGAAGCGGGACGCGUCAUUUUAGAAGGGGGAGAGUUAUCCAACCCAUAAACAUAUCACCCUUCCACAGUUUAUAAACCAAUUUCAAUUCUCAAUCUCGAGUUAUCCAACCCAUAAACAUGGCACCCUUCCACAGUUUAUAAACAAAUUUCAAUUCUCAAUCUCGUCGGCAUUUCCUUUGUCUUUGUUUUUGUCAUUGCCUUUGCCAACGCUUAGCUACCCGCUAAAGUAAAUAACACAUACUUAACGUAAACACAGCUUCCGCUUGGAAACCAAACAACGGCCAACUUAUUACGCUUCAAUCAAAAACUGCAUCGAUCAGCAUAAUUGAAUUUCACAAUGCAGUGGAAUAAUUUCAGCAUAAAGCUUUUAUCAAAAGUUCAGAAAGUGUCAAAGAAAAGCUUCUGGCCGAGGUUGAUUGGAUUAGGAUUCAGAAUUUGAAGAUCAGUCUGAUUCGGGAGGAUUAAAAGAACGGUUUAUAAAUGUAUAAAUAGAUAACAAUAAGUGUCUUGUAAUAAAGUGAUAAGUUGAAAAGUUUAACACCAAGAAAAAUAUUAAAAAAUAAAAAAUUAUUUUUUUAAAUAAUUUAUACCGCAAAAAGUUAAUUUGCACGUUCCUGUGGAAGAUACUCCACCAUUUCAGUAUGAGACCGAAAUUUUUUCAAUUUUAGAAUCUGUGCAGACUCUUCUGAAAUAAUUGUGCUUUGAGAGCCACUAUCAAUUAAUGCUCUUAAUUGUUCAAAGCCUCCAUACCUCUACUUUACUUGAAUCAAGGCCGUGGCCAACAAGGCUGGACCUGUUGUUCUGCAUGUAUUCACUUUUUCUGGAUUAUGACCUACGAAGUGAAAAAAAUAUGGUGAGGUUUACGACAAGUCGAACAAAGCUGCUCGCUUAUACAUUUUUUACCAAAGGGAUGCCUCAGACAUCUUAGGCAAAUCCCAUUUUUUCUUACCCAGUUAGACCGUUCUGCUGGAUUCAUUAUUUUAAAUUUAUGGCAUUGAAUUAAAUAAUGCCCUGGUAGUUUGCAAUAUGCACAAUUGUCACUAUAACUUUUAUUCUUGUUAUUAUUAAUCAUUUUCUUUACAGGUUUUACUUCCUGUGAAAAUGAUGAUAUAGAAUUGAGCCUUUGCUCUAAAAAGUCCAUGACAUCAGAAAGUGCCUGUAUUUCUUUUGUCUUUUUAACAUGGCUUUCAUAUAAAUUGAGUGAUUCUUUAUUGAAUUUCCGAAGAAUUAUGUGAGCGAAAAUUGCAUCCACAUCUUCUGGUAAUUGUGCCUUUAAUUUUAUGAUAUAAAUUGACUCGUUAAUCGUGUCAAAAAAUGCCUUUAUUUGCUUAUUGGAUUCCAAAUUUAAAUUUGGCAUAUCCAUAAGCCUAUUCAUAUGAUCUGAGAAUAUGUUUCUUUUAUUCUCAUACCGCUUGGUCAAAAACUUCCAAGUGGCUUCAUAAUUUUCUCCACAGCCGAGCAGUAAAUGAGUAACCACAUUUCUGGCUUCUCCUUUUAAUGCUGACUUUAGAUAAUUAAAUUUGAUAUAAGGACUGAGAUCCUCUCUCACAUGUAUGAGCUCUGUAAAGAGUUCAUUAAAAAGAUCCCAUUCUUUGGAAUCACCAAAGAAAGUGGGUAUCUGUAUUUUAGGCAGGAUUGGUAACUCCUCCGCCUUAACAACCGUCGACAUUUCAGCUUUAUUUAUUGUGCCACUGAGUCGACUAUUAAUGGCUGUUAGAAUAUUUUGUUAGUCAAAUUCAAGUUCGCUAAUUUCUUCUUAAAAUAGCGAACUCUCAAAAUGACUAUUCACCUGUUCAAUCAGGUUAUCUAUUUUAUGCCAUAAAAAUUCAAUUUUAUUUUUCCUUAUUUUAAGGAAAUCUGGACUACUGUCUAUUAGUUUAGACGUAUCUUCUAGAUAUACUCGAAAUUGGCCAACAUUAAAUCGGAGUGCCUGCUCUACUUUUGAAGCGUUGUCCCUUCUGUUUUGUGCUAUACCCUCUUUUUCAGGGUGAUCACCCAAUUCAAGGUUUAAUGUAGGGGGGGGGGGGUUGAUUUAAGGACAGUGUUUGAUUUAGGGACAGUGUUUUCUACCGACUCGUCCUUAAUUUUUUCAUUUUUAUUUUUAAUUUUUUUCUAACACCAUCAUUAUUAAAUCAUACUGCUUCGUGUUAAAAUAUUCAUGAUCGACAACGCCGAUCUUCAACAAAUUGCUAUGGUUAGCAAUGAAACAUUUUUGAAGCUCAUUUAAAUUUAGAAUUUCUACAUCUGUUAAUGUUGGUUUUACUUCCAACUUUCUAAUUUCCAAAAUAAUUUCGGACUGCUUCUUAAGGAAUUGAAUAGUCUUUUCUGACAUCAUUUUGAAAUUUUUUUUUAUAUAGAUGGGCUUGAUUUGAUUGUAAGUUCUUAAUAUAUAUAGUACGUGUGUAUGUAUUGUAUAUGUAUUUAUAUAUAUAUGUGUGUUUUAAGAAACAGAAAAUUCUUGUUUUGACUUAGCUGAUGUCGUCGUGGUUGCUGCUGCUGUUGCUACUGCUGUUGCUGCUUCUGCUGCUGCUGUUGUUGCUGCUGGUAGAGGCUCCUUUGAAUUUGACUUCCUUCUCUUCUUUAAGGCUCCGUUGACGUCGAUGUUUAAAGAUGAUUUUUUUUUUUUUUUUUUAAUUCCACAAUUGCUGAUGUAUGGUACACAAAGCAACCUUUAGCUAUAGACUAUAAGGUGCUUGUUUAUUUAAAACAUAAAAGAUUCUUUUGUAUCUUUUUGCUUUUUAUAUUUAUACUCUGUUCCUUACCAUAUAGGGGGAAACAAGAGUUAAUUAUUUUUGCUACCUUUAGCUGCAAGUUUAACUCAGCAAUGCUUAAAGGAGCUGGUCUUUCUCUGAGUCCCUUACCAUAUAGGGGGAAACUGCAGAGUCGAUUUAAGGCUCGAUUGACCAAAUGUAAAAUCCCAAAUGAGAAGACUUUACUCGUUGAGUUUUUGUAAGAAACUGGUUUUAUUUGGAAAUAUCUUCGGUUUAAAUAGGUGACAUGAGAAUCGCAUCUUAAAGUAAAUGGCCUACGCAGAGGCCUAAGUAAAUAGUCCCCGCCUUAUCGAGGUCCCACGCUCGGGCACAUCUGCCUAUCUUGAGCGGCGAGGACCUUAUCUGUGGUCUCCCACUAAGGGACUAUUUUAGGAGGCGGGGAACGAUCUCAAGUGACUGACUCAUGUAGUGUGCACUUAAAUUACAUGUUUUUGAGCAAUGCACCCAUGUCGCCUUAGAUAACAAAAUCCUAAAUAUAAUUUAUCGCUCUCGAUUCAUUUACAUAAGAUAUGAACGGAGCCCAAAAUUGUAAGUCUUUAAAUAUAUUCGUGUUCAUGUGUGAACAUUCUGCCAAAGGGCCAGCAAGCUGAGAUGUACAUUAGUAUAUUAGUUGCAUUUAUAACAGUAGUGGACUGUAUUUAUUUGAUAUAUGUUCAUUUAUUUUGCAACUAAGAUUUCAAUGGGCCUAGUUUUUCUGGCUUUUAAUUUUAUUGGAUUACAAUUAUGGUUUAUAUUAUUUUUAAUUCAACAAUUUGUACUCAAUUAACUUAUUUUAAACAUUUUGCUUUUUCUAUGUAGAAGUACAUUUUCUAUUAAACAACGAUAUAGUGGACUGUAUAUUUUUAUUUGUUAUAUUAUUUUAUUGUUUAUUUACUAUUGAUAUUUAUAGUACUGGCAACGGACCUGCAAAGGUUAUUGCUUGCAUUCUUUGUUGCACAGCACAUUUCCGUAUGAAAUAUAUUAUUAAUACUAUCAUUAGUAUUAAAGCAAUAAUUAAUCCAGCAUGUCCGGAAAUAUGAUGGAAAUGUAAAUCUUUCAAUUUUUGAUGGUUCUCUUUCAUAAAUUUAAUUUCAUUAUUCAAUCGUUCAAAUUCCUCAGUAUGAUUUAAUAUUGAUAGUUUCAGCGGAUCCCAAAUAAUCUUCGGCGCUUCACUAACUUCUCCUAUAUAAGGUGUUGAUAAUAAUUCUUCACUUUCGGACUGAAUGUUAUGGUGGGCAACUAGAAUUUUAUCGUCGGUUCUUGCCGUACAAUAUGGCGCAAUGCUUAAAACUCCUUGCUGAGGCAAAUCAAACAAUUCAAUUUGAGAGCCAGUACAUUGCAGACGGACUUUUGAAUUCGCAGGAACCUUAAACAACCAACUACUUUUCUUUUCUAACUCUACCCAGUAACUUUUAGAGUCGACUACUGUUUUAUAGAUGCAGUUCGCCGCUUUAUCUGGCUUUAGAGGCUGAAUCUCACAUGCAUUAUCAUUCGCUGAAUUCCAGGGCCAACUUCCUUUGCAUAUUCUCUUAUUUAGUUGCCAUUUCUGACAUUGAUUUAAUGUGGCUUCCGUCAUUAUGUGAUAGGAAUCUAUCUCAAAAUUAUAAAUUAAAUAUUCGGACGUUGUAUGCACCAUUAUUAUCCGAUCUUCAUUUCGAAUUGGCACCGGAAUAAGCCUGAACAAUUUGGAUGGAUGCCUGCUAAACAGAGGCACUUUUGCACUAAUGAUCAAUUUAUCGUCGAUGAAUAAACCCCUGGCUGUUAACAGUGUAUACACCUCCUUAAGUUCCGUACCUGACCGUUUUCCUGGAAUUACUAGGUUCUCCGAAAGACUCUGCUGAAUUUUGGCAAUUUCUUUUUUAAGCUGAUUUGGCCUGAGAAUAUUUGUAUUUAGCCUACCGUGAUUAAUAUCAAUCAACAGGCUUAUAAUGCCUGCUUGAAUUUUUUCGCCUUCUUCAAUCAAUGAGUGUAGCUGUUUCGUAAUCAUAAAGAAUUUUAUUGAUUCCUUAUAAACAUAAUAAUUUUCUUUAAGAACUUCUGUCAUGUUCUCAAUUCUUAUUUGCAUACUUCUAAAAUUGGAGUUAACAUCUUCUGUUGUUCUCUUUAAUAGAUUAGAAGUUGAAUCAACCACAGAUGUUUGUUUUUGAAUUAGUUUAUCAAGGUUGUUCUGGUUAUCUAACAAAUUCUUCAUAUUUUCUUCUAAUUGCUCUCUAUCAUCUUCAUCCAUUAUACCAAAUAAAAUAUGAUACAAGGAACCCAUAAAUUCGAAAGGAGCACGCUUGCUUCUAGAUCUAGACUGUAUCAUAAACAAUUUAUUGUUUUCUUCAAGUUCCGAUAACUGACUUUGCAUAUUAUCUAAGACUAGACUACAUUGCUCUUCAAAGCUAUGAAGUCUUUCGCAAACUUUCCUCAUACUUUGUAUAAGCGCAUUACCCUUUGUUAACAUUUUAAAAUAUGGAUCCAUUUUAUAAUAGAUAACCAAAUUCCAAGAAGUACUCACAAUCUCAACAUCUCCUAGCGGGUCUAGAUAUAUUGCUGAGGUUUUAUUUAUUUUGUCUAUAGAAUAUCUUGGUGCUAUAUCUUUAGGUAAUGCGCUAGAAACUUGACAACUUAACACAAACAACAACAUUGCCAUAAUGAUUCCGAUCUUGGACAUUCCCGAUGUCGCUCUAGUUCGUCUUUUUGGCUCUUGGUCAGCCUCAUUUUUGUCAACAGACUUUAUUCCUUCCAAGGGACAAAUUUUAGUAAUGGGUCUAGUGAUAUAUCCUUCCUGCAUCUUUACUUUAGCCACUCGGACCUUAUCAUCAUUCCCCUUAUGCACCUUUUCCACCUUUCCUAAAGGCCAUCUUGCAGGAUGACAAUUCUCAUCCUUUAAUAAAACUAUUUGCCCUUCUUCUAUAUUAGGAAUUUCCUUUUUCCAUUUAUUCCUUUGCUGGAG
ensembl:ncRNA lncRNA:CR46482 long non-coding RNA:CR46482